AACUGAUGAUGCAGCUGACCUACUGGAGAAAAGGCAGUGGGAGGGUCCCUACUGGUAUAAAUAAAUAGUAGCUCCAUGCUGUAAACCCACAGCUUGGAAACACAGCUGAAGUCUGAACUCCACCUCCAGGCAGGAUGAGGCUCAUCUCAGCAGCUCUGCUUCUCAUGCUCCUGGUCAGCAGCAGCCUCUCUCCAGUCCAUGGUGAGAACUUUCACUUAUGUUUUCACUGUGCUUUGAACAGAAAUGGUCUUCAGCCAUUUCAAUCUUUAUUUUUUUCUUUUUUCAACUAAAAACUGAGAAGACAUCUGAUUAAAGGGGAAAACUGCUCAGUUGCUUCUAGAUUUAUUAAAGUGCUUUAGGAUUUUACUCUUAGAAACUGGUUGAGAUUUUUAUUUAAAGAAGGAAGAGAUAUUGACUGGAGUCCAAUGUUCAUGUAACUUAUAUUAGGUUUGUAUAGUCCUGGCCUUUUUCAGAUAAGCUCCUGCUAUCAAUUCUUUUCACAUCUCUCUUCUUUUUUCUGCCUCUCAACGCUAACCCCUCUCACCAGGCCCUUUAUAGGGUCUAAAUGGUACUGGCAUUAUCUGGUCUCCUACUUUGAAAUGUUUCAAGUCCAUAACAUAUGGUUAGGUCUGACAUCAGCCAUUGUAAAUACAUCAGGGAGAGUUCCAAAUCUAACUGGGGCCGCUAUUUCUCUGUGAAUAGAUAUCUAGUUGAAGUGGCGAGUUUUUAUAGCACUGAAGGAAUGGAUGCAUAUGCAGAAAGAAACACCGAUCAGGUUUAGUGAACACAUUUUUAUUCUUAAAAUACAGAGGGGUGGGUUUUCCCCCAUUUUUGUUGUUUCACAUUUUAUUUUCAUGCUUCAAAAAUCUCAUUUCUCGCCGCCUCCAGGAAACUUUCCCAUUAAUCCUUGCAAAGUUACCUGUGACUUAAGUCCUCUUUCCCCAGGAUGCAAUAGAGAGCUUAGGUAUACAACCACCUUGUAUGGGUUUUAUGCACUUGUUUCCUCUACUAACUUGUAAAUGCCUGAAAAAUUUGGCCCUUUUAUUUAUAAAUGCAUGUUUAGUGUAGUGGUAGGCACUCUGGGUUAAGAGAAUUUGAUAAAUUAUUUUUUGAAAAAGUUUAGUUUUCACUAAAAUGCAUGAUUUACUUAUAAAUAUAUGGAGUACUAAUAACUUUUGUUGUUGAAUGAAAAGUCUUGGAUUUUUAUUAUUAUUUUUUAUUAUUCGCAUCUCAACAGGCAGAGGGUGUGGAGAGUAUAAGAGGAAAAACUUUGUAUAUGAAUUUGCAGAAGCAAUAACAUGUUAUAACUAGGUCAUGUUCUUUGUUUUUAUAUGUUGGGAGUGAAAAUCAGUUGACUUUUAUAUAGCAUUAAUUAUAACUCAGUUGUAUGUCCCUAUAGUGGCAGUUCUCAAAUUCUAUUAAAUGGAGGAUCACCUGAGUACUAGUAUACUAAUACCACAAAUUAAGUGUUGUGUGUUUUCAAAACUAAUCUUAUUUUAUGGUUUUGGUGGAAAAUGUCUUGAUUUGAGUAUUUUCAAACAAACAGAAAUAUACAAACUAAGGCAUAUUUGGCUGGAAGCACUGGCUUGAAAUUUUUAAAUCCUCAACUGCACAAUAUGAAAAAUUGGUAAUAAAGUUCUAGGUAUACAUUAAGUGUCAAAUGAAUUUAAAUAGCUGAUUCUGUGUUUACAGGUGUUCUGGAAGCCUAUAACACAAACUUGAAGUGUAGCUGUGUUCAAGGGACCUCAGACUUUAUCCAUGUAAGACAAAUUAGUCGGCUUCAAAUUAUACCUCCUGGGAAUGGUUGCCCAAUCGAACAAAUCAUGUAAGUUGCAAGGGAAAAAAUAUGUAUGAUUCCUUUCUCCUAAUGAAAAUCAGAUCAAAUAUUACUAUACAACUAGAACCCUAAAAGAGAUUUACUUGAGUGUUACUAAAAAUUCUGAAAUAAUAAAAUUUGGAAAUAUUUAGGUACUGGUCGCAGCCCUUGAACUAAGUGUUUUAUACUCUAUUUUAUUCCUUCAACUACUGCAUUCAGGCACAUCUAUUGCUGUCAAUUCCUUUAUAGAUACAGAUACAGAAACAGAGGCUUAGCAAGCUUAACUGCCUGCAUGAGGCACACCAUUAGAAAGGGAAGGAUCAGGACCACACCCACAUCUCCCCCAUCCAAGGUGUCUUCACAGAACCUUGAAGUAUGCAAUAGAGAUAAGAUCAUUCUCGGGGCUUGCCUGAUUUUUUUUUUUUUUUAUUGGUAGCUCUUCCCAUGGAUGUUAGGGUCUGUAAACAAGUCAGUAUGGUGCCUGGCAUUUUGCCAGAGGGAGUGGUUUGUGAAGUAACGCCAGCGAGCCAUUAAGUGUGGAGAUUCCUGAUUGGUUGACUGCUGUAUCUAGUUUAUGUUAAUUAAGAUAAGCUGUGUGGAAUGUAUAAAUACCUCUGUGGUCCUACAAUAAACGGCUCCCACUCCUGCUGUAUCAAUGUACACAAGUUGUUCGUCAACCCCCGGUUAUUCUGCCGCAGUCCGGCUAUAGCACAUGGAAACAGUAAAACAAUAAUUUUUAAAAAAUCAUGCUUUCCUUAAAGUCUAAUUAAACCAAAAUUAUUGUCCUCAAGCUCAAAGAUGUGAAGUCUAGCUAUAAUGUGUUUAGAGCAGUUCCUCAGUCUGCAUAGAAAAGUAGAACUCCUUUCUUUUUAUUGUAUGUCAAUUGGCAUGACUCAAGUCUCUCACCUCUCAACCAGAGGAAGUAAGGCACCCUAAUUUUCUCUGCUUUAAGGUCAAUAGUUUUGAAAUGACAAAAAUUUGCCUGUCUUCAAGAAAAUCUGAAUUUCUGAAUUUUAACCAGAUAUAGAAAUAAAAGUUGCAAAUUAUGAGAAACUCCUACCAGCUAGAGGUGCAAAUACAAGAUGAUUAGAAAUCUUAUUUUUCCAUCAUGAACUCAGAAACCAAAUUGGAAGAUGCUGCCUGAGAACCCAUCUAUUCCAUGUCUUCUGACUUCCCUAAGAUUCACCUACAGCAGUGGAGUUUCAAAGUUAGAUGGAUGGAUCCUUGCUAUAUAAUAAUUUAUAGCUAAGACAAUGGACACAUCAAAAAUUAUGGUUGUUUUUUUUUUUAAAUCACACCAGUAGAGUCACAUCUCCCAGUUUUCUAUCACCUGGGAGAUAUCAUUUUUCCAUUGCAUGCAAAACCUUUAGCUCUAUGUCUAGCACUUGAUAACUAUUUAAACACUGCUUUCCAUGAACAUGACCUGAAGUGUAGAAUCUGAAAAUCAGAUAAACUUCCUUUGAGUUUUGUUCAAACACGUAUUUGCUGUGCAAUCUUGGAUGAGAUUAUUUGAAUUCUUUAAGCCUCAAAUUUCUUAUCAGGUAAGAAAAUAAUUCCUCUAACAUAAUGCUUUUGUCAGAUAAAUUGAAAUAAUCCAUGUUACCUGCUAAGCAUAGCAUGUGACGCAUUCUGAGUAUAGUAUUUGAUAAUGUGAUCCAUUAACUGUUCUCACUGCUUUUGUUGUUGCUUAAUUCCUUAGAGCAAGUAAAGCCUCGUUAGCUGGUGGUUCCACAAAAUAUCACUCAGAGCAAUCAGCUCUUUAACCUCACCUACCUUAAAUUUCAUUAACUUUUUUUUCUGAUAAAAGGUCUUGAGUAUUUUCUAUAGCCUUUAUUGUUCUCUCCCAUUCAUUGAACAAGCACAUUUUAAAGAUAUUGUGAUAUCACUUUAGUAGUGAGUCAACCUUAGAGUCUAUUUGGUCCUUCUUCAACUCAAGUAAAGGUUAUCAGCAAAACACUGACCUCUGACACAUGAGAAUUUGUCAACUUGGAUUCAGCUCCACAAGCUCUCACUUAUUGGUCUACAAAUGGUUGUUUCUUAUUCCUCAGAUCUCAUGUCACAAAUACCUGUUUAGAUCCAAAACAACCCAGCUUUGAUGUCACCUCACCUAGGAAUAAUUAUUUUCAUACCCAACCCUUCGCUAUUAAAAAUGCAAGAUUGACUAAAAUGUAACACUGUCUUAUUUUUAUUUUUGCUAAUUUCCCCCCUAGAGUCAGGUUGAAGAAUAAGACAACUGUGUGUGUGAACCCUCAAACCUCAUGGAUCAAGAAAUUAAUAAAAUAUUUACCAAAGUAAGUCACACAUACCAAGGGGUUUUAGAUUCCAAUUUGUACUGGAAGAUUUCCCUUUGCUAGGCAGUCAAAAGGGGAUAAUUUUAAAUUUAUGAGUUACUAAGACAAAUACUUGCUUUUUGCUACAUCUACAUAGAGUAGAGCUAACUCAUCCCAGGAGUUCAGUAAACUAAAUUAGAAAGUAGUAUGUAUGAUAUUCCUUAUUUGAUAUCUCCAGGGAAAAGCCAUCAUUUCUGGUGUGUUUCUCUAAGCAUGACUUUUUGGGUUUGUUUUUACUUCACAGAAAAAAAUUGUUUUCAACUCAAGCUCCAGCGAUGAAGAAGAUCGGCUGAUGUCAACAUCCCCCCUCAGAACACCUGCAUUCCCUGCUUAUCCUUGCUCUGGAUUUCAGUUUUGUUCUUUUUUAAAACUUUUCUAAGAAAAACAAUUUCCCUGUACAAACGAGCAUUAAGACUCGAUGUAAAAAUAAACUGCAGAAGCUGAUGUGGGUCAACUCAAGCCUCUUCACACCCAUACUUUGCAAUCUCAUUUAGGGAGGAAAGGUUCUUUGAAAAUAAUUAUUUAGUAAUAAAUCCCAUAAGAUUCUUUUGAUAAUGUACCUUGUUUAAUGGUAAUCUGUCCUAGGAAGUAUGGGAAUGAGAAUUUAAACUUCAAAUAUGAAUUUGAAUUAAGAUGAAAAUUGUGGAAUGUGUUUUAAUCAUUUUACCCUAAGAAAAAGAUUUCCAUGAGACUCAAGGUUGCAUAUAAACCCAAUACAGCUUCAUCCUAACACUCAGAGGGCUCCACAGAGUAGAUAUCCUCUAAAACCCAAUUUGAAUUCUUGCCUGGCAUAUGUAAGGCCCUGGGUUUGAUCCGCCUAGUACCCCCUACACACACAUUCACACACACAUACACACAUACACACACAUAUACACACACAUACACACAUACACACACACAUAUACACAUACACACACAUACACACACAUAUACACAUACACACACACAUACAUACACACACACACAAAUAAAAUCAUUUUGAGGAGAUUGAGAUCCUUCCUCUACUUUUACAGAGUUCCUUUGUAAUACUUAUUUUCUCAAAAUAAACUAAUAACAUUGAAAUAUACCCAGGCUUAAAAUUCCAGAAUAUUCAGGAAAAACUAAAAAUCAUACAGAUGUAUUUUUUUAUACAUUGGUCUUGACAAAGUUUUCAUUCACGUCUUUUGCAUAGAUGAAAUACCAGUCUCUGGUAUCAAAUUCUUUAAUGUUUCUUGUUAAUCUGACAUCCUUCAAUAAACAUGAG
rnacentral:lncRNA from 1 species